UACGUAGGGUGCAAGCGUUAAUCGGAAUUACUGGGCGUAAAGCGUGCGCAGGCGGUGAUGUAAGACCGAUGUGAAAUCCCCGGGCUUAACCUGGGAACUGCAUUGGUGACUGCAUAGCUAGAGUACGGUAGAGGGGGAUGGAAUUCCGCGUGUAGCAGUGAAAUGCGUAGAUAUGCGGAGGAACACCGAUGGCGAAGGCAAUCCCCUGGACCUGUACUGACGCUCAUGCACGAAAGCGUGGGGAGCAAACAGG
rnacentral:rRNA from 1 species